rnacentral:rRNA from 1 species
CCCUUAGACGUUCUGGGCCGCACGCGCGCUACACUGACGAAGGCAACGAGCUACUCUUCACCGAAAGGUGUGGGUAAUCUUUUGAAACUUCGUCGUGCUGGGGAUAGAUCCUUGCAAUUUUUGAUCUUAAACGAGGAAUUCCUAGUAAGCGCAAGUCAUCAACUUGCGUUGAUUACGUCCCUGCCCUUUGUACACACCGCCCGUCGCUACUACCGAUUGAAUGGUUUAGUGAGGCCUUCGGAUCCGCGAUUUUAUUGUGGAGAAGUUGGACAAACUCAGUCAUUUAGAGGAAGGUGAAGUCGUAACA